rnacentral:rRNA from 1 species
AUUGAACGCUGGCGGCAGGCCUAACACAUGCAAGUCGAACGGUAACAGGAAGCAGCUUGCUGCUUCGCUGACGAGUGGCGGACGGGUGAGUAAUGUCUGGGAAACUGCCUGAUGGAGGGGGAUAACUACUGGAAACGGUAGCUAAUACCGCAUAACGUCGCAAGACCAAAGAGGGGGACCUUAGGGCCUCUUGCCAUCGGAUGUGCCCAGAUGGGAUUAGCUAGUAGGUGGGGUAACGGCUCACCUAGGCGACGAUCCCUAGCUGGUCUGAGAGGAUGACCAGCCACACUGGAACUGAGACACGGUCCAGACUCCUAAGGGAGGCAGCAGUGGGGAAUAUUGCACAAUGGGCGCAAGCCUGAUGCAGACAUGCCGCGUGUAUGAAGAAGGCCUUCGGGUUGUAAAGUACUUUCAGCGGGGAGGAAGGGAGUAAAGUUAAUACCUUUGCUCAUUGACGUUACCCGCAGAAGAAGCGCCGGCUAACUCCGUG